ensembl:lncRNA
AUAGAGAGAUGCGGUAUUGCGACUGACAGUCAAGUACAAAUGUUCAGCGUGCGCAACUCAACAGUUUGUAAAUACAAGUCUUUGGGUGCAGAGUUGAAACGAUAUCCUGCACAAAGAAAAACCUGCACUCAUUGAAAGGUUUUUGCUGCUGAGGACAGAGACUGAACGAGGCAGGCAAAACAAGACUGGAUAUCCGACCAACUCUACUGAGGCAACAAUCUCCAUGGCAACAGUUAUUAAUUCCACAUCCAUGACCUCUGAUGACCUCACCCUGAACUCCACAUCGAGCCACAGUUCGGAACCUUGGACACCAUCCCCUUGGUACCAAUUCCAUGUGUGCUCCGUAGCCCCAUACGCAUUCGUCUUCUACUUCGGCGUCAAAGUCUUCAACCUGGCAAUAGGUGUAGUAGAAUGAUGUACUACAACUACAUUACCCAUAAUGCUGUGGUGGUAGGCACGCCGUGUAACAUCUUGGUACUGUGGCAGAUCGCCAGCAGGAAGAGCAACUCGUCUACUUCUGACAUCUUCAUCUUUAACCUGGCCGUCCUGGACACAUACUUCUGCCUCAUGGGGCCAAUAGAUAUCAUCAACAGGCUGGUACUGGACCACCAAGGCAUCUGGUACUUCCAACGCUUUGCUUAUGGGCUCAAAG